GGAGCUGCCAGAAUCAGACUCAAGAUUCGGUAAAUCGUGAUCACACCAGGUCGCCUCGCCCGUGACCCAUAAUUCAAGGAUCUGCAUUCAACCUCCCAGAACUUGUGGGAAGCCAGAGAAAUGGGAUUCUUGUUCCAUGUCCUCAGAACAAGCCAGAAAUGAGUCGGCCUGACACGGGGCAAUGCUGGUCCUCAGCAAACCACCAUGGUUCCCACCAGCCAGACCUGGAGCUCCC
rnacentral:lncRNA from 1 species